rnacentral:ncRNA from 1 species
AAAAAUCAGCGGGGAAAGAAGACCCUGUUGAGCUUGACUCUAAUCUGGCAUUGUUCGGAGACAUGCCGAGGUGUAGCAUACGUGGGAGACCCGGACCAAGGCGGGCGGUUUCGGCCGUUCGUCUCCGGGCCGACCUUGAAAUACCACUACUCGCAUCGUUUCCCCACUUACUCGGUAGAGCGGAACGCGCGGUUCCGGCCGCGGGCGCGUCCGGCCGGCGGUCGUCGUCCCGUCGCGUCGUCGGUUUGCCGUCGGUUCGCCGGCGCGCUACUGGCGCGCGGCGUGGUCGCCGUGCCGUCGGCCUGUGCCCGUUCGUGCCGGGCCGCGGUUGAUAUUCCGGUAGCGUUAAGCACCAGCCGAGGGAUCCGGGCGUCAAACCGCGGACCGCGUCCGUCCGCGUACGGCCGACCGUCAAAAGUCGCCGUCCGCGUUCGCGGCGUAUCCGCGGGCCCGGUCCCUGGUGCGAUCCGUAUUCCGAGGACACCGCCAGGUGGGGAGUUUGACUGGGGCGGUACAUCUGUCAAAAAAUAACGCAGGUGUCCUAAGGCCAGCUCAGCGAGGACGGAAACCUCGCGUAGAGCAAAAGGGCAAAUGCUGGCUUGAUCCCGGACGCUCAGUACGCGUAGGGACUGCGAAAGCAUCGGCCUCUCGAUCCUCUCGUCCGCUGAAGAGUUUUCAGCGAGAGGUGUCAGAAAAGUUACCACAGGGAUAACUGGGCUUGUGGCGGCCAAGCGUUCAUAAGCGACGUCGCUUUUUG